rfam:Postia placenta Mad-698-R POSPLscaffold_20_Cont1438, whole genome shotgun sequence.
GGCGCUAUAGUGUAGUGGUUAUCACUUGGGAUUCUGAUUGCGUAUUCAUCUUCCCAAAACCCAGGUUCGAGCCCUGGUAGCGCCU